rnacentral:rRNA from 1 species
AAAUUCAACGGCCACGGUACCCUAACCGCGCGAAGGUAGCAUAAUCACUUGUUCUCUAAAUAAGGACUUGUAUCAACGGCAUCACGAGGGUUACACUGUCUCCUUUCUCUAAUCAGUGAAACUAAUCCCCCCGUGAAGAAGCGGGGAUACUACUAUAAGACGAGAAGACCCCAUGGAGCUUUAAACCCAACUACACCCCCACCCCUAACAACCACUUAACUAAUGGGACACUGUAUGCUUGGUUUUAGGUUGGGGCGACCACGGAGUAGAAAACAACCUCCAUGAUGAACGGGCCCAC